rnacentral:lncRNA from 1 species
AAUUGCUCAAAGGCAAAAAAAAACUUUUAAGUUCAUUAGACCACAUUCAUUCUGUGUCAGAAACCUAUGCUGUGUCAACUAUUUAAUUUUAGAUUUAAAAAGUUUGAAGAAGAAAUCUUUAAUUGAUUUGUAAAAUCUUGACAUUUGUUUUGUGUAAAAAAAAAACCAUGUAAUGUCAAAAAUUUGAUCACAAUCCAAAUUCAGAGCUGUAUCACGCUUGAAUGUUUUGUCCAUACUUGCCCCAACUGUUCAGGGUUCGACCUCUGCGGUCGUAUAAAGCUGCGCCCUGCGGAGCACCUGGUUGUUUUUGUUUAACAU